GACAGAGGGUGCAAACGUUGUUCGGAUUUACUGGGCGUAAAGCGCGCGUAGGCGGCUGGAUAAGUCGAUUGUGAAAGCCCGAGGCUCAACCUCGGAACUGCCUUCGAUACUGCGGGUCUCGAGUCCGGGAGAGGUGAGUGGAAUUCCUAGUGUAGAGGUGAAAUUCGUAGAUAUUAGGAAGAACACCAGUGGCGAAGGCGGCUCACUGGCCCGGUACGUCGACGCUGAGGCGCGAAAGCGUGGGGAGCAAACAGG
rnacentral:rRNA from 1 species